AGGUUAGUAAGCGUGAGGAGUUGU
rnacentral:siRNA from 1 species